GGAAGGUGCCAGCUUGGGAUUUCGAGCCUGGGUAGUGCCUGCUAACGGGGUUGGCCGGAGCAGCAGAGCACCGGGAGGCCCAGGGAUGUGGCGAGGCAGCCGCGGUGUCAGAAAGAGGAAGGCAGGAGGCUGAGGCCGAGGGCCCUGGAAUCUCGCACAUUCCAGGGUUCAGAAAGAUCACGGUGGGGUCCACCUCUGGAGUCCACAAAAGAAAACGUACAAUGUGGCCACAGGCCUGCUUUUCCAAACUCGUCAUGGUUACCAUUUCAUGAACGGCUUCAAGUCCAGAAUGGUGAGUGCCCGUGGCAAGUGAGUAUCCAGAUGUCACGGAAACACCUCUGUGGAGGCUCAAUCUUACAUUGGUGGUGGGUUCUGACAGCCGCACACUGCUUCCGAAGAACCCUAUUAGACAUGGCCGUGGUAAAUGUCACUGUGGUCAUGGGAACGAGAACAUUCAGCAACAUCCACUCGGAGAGAAAGCAAGUGCAGAAGGUCAUUAUUCACAAAGAUUACAAACCGCCCCAGCUCGACAGUGACCUCUCUCUGCUUCUACUUGCCACACCAGUGCAAUUCAGCAAUUUCAAAAUGCCUGUCUGCCUGCAGGAGGAGGAGAGGACCUGGGACUGGUGUUGGAUGGCACAGUGGGUAACGACCAAUGGGUAUGAGUAGAAUCCUGUUUCCUUCUGAAGCCCUUCCUAAUUGAUAUACUUAGGGCCAUCUUCCUUAACACCCCAGACCUGCUGGUUUCGGAGCCAUCGACCUCCUCAUUUCCACCGCAGAGGGCUGGAGGAGAUUCAGAAAAUCAGGGCAGGGCCCAGGAGAAGGUUCUUUCAGAGCAUGGCUUCAGCCUGGUUACUUCUGACACCAGCCAGGAGGAACAGACUUCUUCCCCAUACAGCAGGUACCACCAGAAGUACCUGAGCAAGAUCACCCUCAGCUCCUGCAGCCUCAGGGCACCGGAGUGUCCUGUCCACGGGGCAUUUGUUACGGACAAAGAUUUGUGUGGCCUUUCACUUUGCACGCUGAAGCUUAACCCUGGCUGCAACGGGACGGGGGGCCACCAAGGAAGUCAUUAAGGUUAACUAAGGUAUAGGGUGGUGCCCUGGUUGACAGGAUGGUGGCCUUAUGAGGACACUUACAAGAUGGACGCCCACUUGUCCCCCGACCCCUCUGGCACAGGAACUGAGGAAGAGUCACAAGAGGACACAGCAGAUGUUGGUCACCUGCAGGCUAGGAAGAAAGCCCUCCCCAGGAACCUGGGUCUUGGGGACUUCCAGCCUCCACUGUGGGAAAGAAAUGCGUGUUGAUCAGUCCACCCAGUCUAUGGUGUUUUGUAACGGUGGCCAGAGCAGACAAAGACAGUAUGAAAACAUAACUUCUCCCCACACGCUGAAGUUAUAACAGCAAUGCUUUCAACAAAUUGGGCAACGCUUUUGUGGUUCCCACUGGGCGAGUGUUGAAGCUUACAAAACACAAAGGCAUUUUUGAACGUCUGGUCUUUGAGGUAUAAUUUCUAUUCAGCAAAUUCACCACUUCAGGAUGGAUGGUUCUGUGAAUUCUGAUGAAUGUAAAUGGCUGUGACCAGACAUAGAACUUUGGCCGAAUGUGGUGCCUCAUGCCUGUAAUCCCAGCACUUUGGGAGGCUGAGGUGGGCGGAUCACCUGAGGUCAGGAGUUCAAGACCAGCCUGACCAACAUGGUGAAAACCCGUCUCUACUAAAAAUACAAAAAUUAGCUGGGCGGGGAGGCAUGUGCCUGUAAUCUCAGUUAUUCAAGAGGCUGAGGCUGGAGAAUUGCUUGAACCUGGGAGGUGCAGGUUGCAGUGAGCUGAGAUCACACCAUUGCUCUCCAGCCUGGACGACAAGAGUGAAACUCUGUUUCACAAAAAGAAAAGAAAAAGACAAGACAUACAACAUUUUCAUCACCCCAAAACAUUCCCCUGUGCUUCUUAGUAAUCCAUCCUCUUCCUGGAACCCCAAACCUGGGCAACAACUCAUGCGUUCUCUGUGCUUGGAGUUUUGCCUUUCCCAGAAUGCCAUGGAAUCAUACGGUGUGCAGCGGCUCGUGUCUGGCUUCUCCAGCUCGGUGCGAUGCUCCUGAGAUCCGAGUUGUUGUGCGUGUCAGUCGGCUGCUCCUCUUCGCUGCUGUGUAGCACCGCUGUUGUGUGAAUGCACCGCAGUUUGUUCAUCGCUUCCUCUGACGAUGGACAUUUAGGUUGUUACCAGUUUUUAGCAAUUAAAAAGAAAGCCACCAUAAACACUGGGUACUGGUUUUCACGUGGACGUAUGUUUCUGUGCAGUCCUGUUUUGAUUAAAAUGUGAACUCGUCUACUGCCGUGGUAGGCAAUUUUUGGAUGACUUGGGGCCUAAAUGAAGAGAAUGCAGGCGCUUGCUGUGUUCUCCCUUUCUGUAGUCUGGGACUGCCAUGGAAGUCGUGUGGUUUCUUUGGGCAGGAUGGUGGGUAAUGCGGGAAUUCUUUUAUCUAUGCCCUGUUCCAUCUCAUAUGCAUGUCCCCUCCAGUGCCCAAAAGUUUGCAAACACUUAGAGCAGCGAUCAGAUGUUUUGCUCUACUGACCCCAAAUAAAUACAUGCUGUUUGCAAAGAACAGAGGCAAGGAGGCUUUCUCUCCCAUUUCACGACCCCGCUUGGCAGAGAAAAGAAAAGCAUUAGGUUGCUGAAUUCUAAUGCUUUGCUUACAGCUAUGAGAAGUACAGUAAAUGCUGGUUCUGACAAAACUCCACGUCCAAUAAAAUGAAUGAACUGCC